AGAGAACGCUGGCGGUAGGCCUAACACAUGCAAGUCGAACGGCAGCACAGUAAGAGCUUGCUCUUACGGGUGGCGAGUGGCGGACGGGUGAGGAAUACAUCGGAAUCUACUUUUUCGUGGGGGAUAACGUAGGGAAACUUACGCUAAUACCGCAUACGACCUACGGGUGAAAGCAGGGGAUCUUCGGACCUUGCGCGAUUGAAUGAGCCGCUGUCGGAUUAGCUAGUUGGCGGGGUAAAGGCCCACCAAGGCGACGAUCCGUAGCUGGUCUGAGAGGAUGAUCAGCCACACUGGAACUGAGACACGGUCCAGACUCCUACGGGAGGCAGCAGUGGGGAAUAUUGGACAAUGGGCGCAAGCCUGAUCCAGCCAUACCGCGUGGGUGAAGAAGGCCUUCGGGUUGUAAAGCCCUUUUGUUGGGAAAGAAAAGCAGCAGGUUAAUACCCCGCUGUUCUGACGGUACCCAAAGAAUAAGCACCGGCUAACUUCGUG
rnacentral:rRNA from 1 species